CAAAUUAUGAUGAAAACUGUAGUCAGUGGUGUGAUUUCGAUUACUCAUUUUAGAUUAGAUCUUUUAGAUUACUCAUGACCUAACUUGUUUAUAAAUUUGAAUUGGAUUAUUGUUAUAAAAGAGAAAUCGAAUAUAUAUUCCAUUCUUUGUUUUCAGCAUCAUGAAAAGCAUUAAACAUUAUAUUACUUCAAGGUUUAAAAGUAACCGAUGAUGAGAAUUUUCAAACUAGUACUACAUCUUUGAGAUCUGUUUACGUAAUCCAGGUUACAUGUAAUCCGUCACUACCCAGCACUGUUAGUGAAAUAUGAAAAGUAAUGAACGUAAUGUUUAAUCAAAAAAUUAUGUGGAGAUAAAAGCUAGCAUUUUGUAUUAUUCUCUCUUUUUGCAUUUUAUUGGUGCACAUCUAUUGAAAACAUUUAUAUCUCUUGAUAAAACUCAACCUGUAUAUAGUUCACAUUAAAGUAGGUUAGAUAAAAUUAGAGACGAUGCAAUCCCUUGACCUGGUUUAUAAUUGCUAUGGUUUGCAGGCAGAUCAUUUAGCACCGUUGAGUCACAUGACACCAGGGAAAUGCUCUGGGUUUAGACGAUGAGGUGCUCAUAGUCAUCAAAUGUUCAUAUCAACUCUCAGAAUGUCCUUUAAAUGUCAUGUUUUUUUGGAUAAUUCAUAAGUUUAUACCAGUUAUGCCUUAGUGUAUUUCAGACUUACAGAAAACAGUCAGACCUUUGUACACUGUAAUGCUAUUUUACGUGUGACAUUUCAAAUAAAUUUACUUGUGCAUGUAGUGUGCACUGAGUAAGAGACUGUAGUACUAUGUGCCAUAUAUUGAAAAGAUCAAAGCAAUCUGAGAUAUGCACGAGGAAAAAAAAAGUUUGGAUUCUUUGCUUUUUAUGCCAUGAUGUACCACAAAACUGAGUUUCAAAAGACCAUAAAACACCCACAUACAAAAGACAGACAGUUAACCAGAAGGUUUUAUUUAUAAAAGUAUGUCAUGCAUAUUCACACAUACAGAAAACAGCAUCUAACUCACCUCUAGUCCUUGAAUGCUGGGUAAUUUACAGCCGCUGGAAAGAACCACUCUUCUGUGACCAUACACCCUUUAUAAUAAACAGGAUGAAAUGCAAUUAGCACUAAGCUUUGCAUUUUAUGGAUUGCAUUAUCAUAGUAUAUGACGCAUCAUCGAUUGUUUAAAAAGUUGAUGUCCAUAAGAUGAAACUUUUGAAAGGCACAGAUGUAAACCCUUCUUAACAGCCACCUCAUGUGUUAAUAUCUGCCCUAGCUGACACCACAUUCAUCUGAAGAGUGAUGAACAGGCAACACUUUAAGGCAUGACUGGCUUCACUAAAACUUAAACAGCUAAGAGAAGGGAAAUGUUCACAGCUGCAUACCAGGUGUCUGUGACCGUCCACGCUGCUCACCUGAAACGA
ensembl:lncRNA